CCCUUAGAUGUCCUGGGCCGCACGCGCGCUACACUGAGUGUCUGAGAUACGAGUCUGCCUGGUCCGGCAAGGUCUAGGUAAUCGCUAAAAGACACAUCAUGCUUGGGAUAGAUUAUUGCAAAUAUUAAUCUUGAACGAGGAAUUCCUAGUAAGCGCAAGUCAACAGCUUGCGUUGAUUACGUCCCUGCCCUUUGUACACACCGCCCGUCGCUACUACUGAUUGGAUGUUUAAGCGAGGUUCUCGAACUGCUAGCGACUUAGCUUCGGUGAGGUCGCAGUGUGGGAAGCGAACCUAGCUUUGGUGUCUAGAGGAAGUAAAAGUCGUAACA
rnacentral:rRNA from 1 species